rnacentral:misc_RNA from 1 species
AAUCGGAGGAUCAAAGGGGCUGUUCUCGAGGCGAUCGGAAAUUUCGAGCGAUCUGUUUGCCCGGUUACGCGGACUGUCGAAUUCCCCGGGUCCAGGAGCCGAUCUUUGGUUGGUUGGCUUGGUUCCUCGACGACGACAAGCCGGAGGCGGUUUCGAGCCGGCUCUAUCGGAGGAACGGAGAUGCCGGUCGGCGAUCUAUCGCGGGAGAACGCAAGGCAUGAGUGCGGAACGUUGUGGUGUGUACGCGGUACUGUCGUCCGUACCCUCGGCUCCAUGGGCUCCACACUCGAGUCAUCGUAGCAGUUCUACGUUCACGUGUAAACUGAACAGUCACUGCUGCAUCGCACCGAAGCGAACUAAUUCAGGCCGAAUCGAACGGAAGUGUAUCACAAUUGUUCGAUUGAAUCGUAACUAAACCAAUCGUACGAUUCGUAUUGAACCGAACUAAUCGGAGUAACCGAGCUUGCCUAACUCAAGGUUGAAUCGAGAUGAUUUCGAUCGAUCUUUAUGAAAAUCGUGUGAC